rnacentral:tRNA from 1 species
AUUUAAAUAGUUUAAUAUAAAAUAUUGAUUUGUGGUGUCAAUGAUAUGAAAUUUUUCAUUUUAGAUC